rnacentral:rRNA from 1 species
UACGGAGGGUGCAAGCGUUAUCCGGAUUCACUGGGUUUAAAGGGUGCGUAGGUGGGCAGGUAAGUCAGUGGUGAAAUCUCCGGGCUUAACCCGGAAACUGCCGUUGAUACUAUCUGUCUUGAAUAUAGUGGAGGUGAGCGGAAUAUGUCAUGUAGCGGUGAAAUGCUUAGAUAUGACAUAGAACACCCAUUGCGAAGGCAGCUCGCUACACUAUCAUUGACGCUGAGGCACGAAAGCGUGGGGAUCAAACAGG